UUGGGUUGCUUGCUUUUGGCCAGGAGCAAGAUAUCUCAGCAAGGGCUUUUUAUGAGCUGAUUCUGGUGACAGAAUUUGUUAAGAAACAUUUUUGGGUACAGAGAUUUGCUCAAGGCACUGUCGGAUCGUGAUUGUCUUAAGAGAAGAAGUGAAGGACCCAAAGCGUGUGUCACCAAGAGCUUCAACUGAGGAAUGGUGUGAAGGCAAGGAACAAGGCCUCCACUGUCAUGAAAAAAGGGAAGUCUUUGUUUGAAGAUUUAGAGGCACAUUACUAAUACAAGUAAGAGGUGUUAAGAAGCUUCACAUCAAAGGCAUUGACAACUUCCUGAUUGCAAAGAGCAAGAACAACUUCCAAAUGUUGAAUAUGUUGGUUUUAUUAAUUAUGCAGGUGAGAAUGCAGUUCAUUAAUCUGUUUUCUCACGCUGAAGAUGACUAAGAAGGUUCUGAAGAGGAGUACAAAAUUGAAUUAGAAACUGGCAAAGAAAUGUGAAAAUG